rnacentral:rRNA from 1 species
UACGGGGGGGGCAAGCGUUGUUCGGAAUUACUGGGCGUAAAGGGCUCGUAGGUGGCCAACUAAGUCAGACGUGAAAUCCCUCGGCUUAACCGGGGAACUGCGUCUGAUACUGGAUGGCUGGAGUAUGGGAGAGGGAUGCGGAAUUCCUGGUGUAGCGGUGAAAUGCGUAGAUAUCAGGAGGAACACCUGCGGUGUAGACGGCUUACUGGACGGUAACUGACGCUGAGGCACGAAAGCGUGGGUAGCAAACAGG